AACGCUAGCUACAGGCUUAACACAUGCAAGUCGAGGGGAAACGACAUCGAAAGCUUGCUUUUGAUGGGCGUCGACCGGCGCACGGGUGAGUAACGCGUAUCCAACCUGCCCACCACUUGGGGAUAACCUUGCGAAAGUAAGACUAAUACCCAAUGAUAUCUCCAGAAGACAUCUGAAAGAGAUUAAAGAUUUAUCGGUGAUGGAUGGGGAUGCGUCUGAUUAGCUUGUUGGCGGGGUAACGGCCCACCAAGGCGACGAUCAGUAGGGGUUCUGAGAGGAAGGUCCCCCACAUUGGAACUGAGACACGGUCCAAACUCCUACGGGAGGCAGCAGUGAGGAAUAUUGGUCAAUGGGCGAGAGCCUGAACCAGCCAAGUAGCGUGCAGGAUGACGGCCCUAUGGGUUGUAAACUGCUUUUAUAAGGGAAUAAAGUGAGUCUCGUGAGACUUUUUGCAUGUACCUUAUGAAUAAGGACCGGCUAAUUCCGUGCCAGCAGCCGCGGUAAUACGGAAGGUCCGGGCGUUAUCCGGAUUUAUUGGGUUUAAAGGGAGCGUAGGCCGGAGAUUAAGCGUGUUGUGAAAUGUAGACGCUCAACGUCUGCACUGCAGCGCGAACUGGUUUCCUUGAGUACGCACAAAGUGGGCGGAAUUCGUGGUGUAGCGGUGAAAUGCUUAGAUAUCACGAAGAACUCCGAUUG
rnacentral:rRNA from 1 species